UACGGAGGGAGCUAGCGUUGUUCGGAAUUACUGGGCGUAAAGCGCGCGUAGGCGGCUGUUCAAGUCAGAGGUGAAAGCCCGGGGCUCAACCCCGGAACUGCCUUUGAAACUAGAUAGCUAGAAUCUUGGAGAGGCGAGUGGAAUUCCGAGUGUAGAGGUGAAAUUCGUAGAUAUUCGGAAGAACACCAGUGGCGAAGGCGACUCGCUGGACAAGAAUUGACGCUGAGGUGCGAAAGCAUGGGGAGCGAACGGG
rnacentral:rRNA from 1 species